UGCAAACUUCAUCUAGGAGCAAACCUCUACUUAUUGUUACAAUGAUAUCCAUUUGCCCUUGUCAUCUUUUAUUAUUUCCUCUCUCUCUCUCUCGAUCUCUCCCUCUCCAUCAGGUGGCGCUGUGGUUUAAUUUUUUAUAUAUUUUUUAUCUUACUCUUCACUGUUCAUUCAAUCCAUAAAACAGAACACCAGGCACUCUGCAUCAAUGUCAUCACAGACCACAGUUAGGCACCAUACACACCUGAGCUUCAGUCUGUCACAACACAACAGGACUGUGUUCCCAGCAGCCAUCCAUUCCAGAACUUCCUUGGGUAAAUACUGUAUGUUGCUGGAUUUUACUUCCUGUCUGCGAUUGUGAUCAAAUAGAGUGCUGGAGCGACCAGAUGAUAGGCUUCAACUUUCUUCGUUUUAGUUUUUAAUAUAAUGCCAGCACAGCUACAUGGAAAGUAAAGGAGAGGCUGGAAGAGAAGAGAAAAAGAGGUGAGGAGAGAAGAGAAAGGGAGGAGGGUGAAGUACUAUGAAGGCACCACUGAUCUCGACAAGAGGCGCAACAUUCAGAAAAUGUCACAAUUCAGGUCAAUCAUAUCUACCUUACGGAGGAAGGAUGGCCAACCACACAGCAGGGUGAUGUUUACUAAGGAGGAGAAGGAAGCCGUGCUGACCGAGAUGCAUGCUGGCCAUUUCGGAGUGAAGCACAUGAUUGCCAAAAUCAACCUACGAUUCUUCUGACGAGGAAUUGUCAAGGAGGUCAGUACCCUGUCAAGCCAGCCAGAAGUUUCAUAGUGCGAAGACUGUGGCGCCAGAGUUGAAGCACAUCAAAGUUGUUUCACCAAUGCACAUGAUCGGGGUGGACCUCAUCGGACCCUUCACGAAAUCCAGGAAUGGCAGCAGCUGGUGUCUGACGGCGACCAAUCACUUUACCAAGUGGGUGGAGGCAAUACCUAUCAAGGUCAAUAAAGGAAGAGACGAGACUGUCAAGGCCAUGGUUCUCCUGAGGUCAUCUUGAGUGACCGAGGUCAUGAACGCUGGAACAAGGUUUGGUGAAUGGACCAACCAGACCUUCAAGACAUGAGAAAGUCCCUUGAUUGGUACCAGGAAUGGUGGGAGAA